UGGGGAAUUUUGGACAAUGGGCGAAAGCCUGAUCCAGCCAUGCCGCGUGAGUGAAGAAGGCCUUCGGGUUGUAAAGCGCUUUUCGGGGAGAAGAGGAAGGACGGUAUCCCCGGAAUAAGGCUCGGCUAACUACGUGCCAGCAGCCGCGGUAAAACGUAGGAGCCAAGCGUUAUCCGAAUUCACUGGGCGUAAAGCGCGUGCAGGCGGCCUGGUAAGUUGGAUGUGAAAUCUCCCGGCUCAACUGGGAGAGGCCGUUCAAGACUGUCAGGCUAGAGGGCGACAGAGGGAGGUGGAAUUCCGGGUGUAGUGGUGAAAUGCGUAGAUAUCCGGAGGAACACCAGAGGCGAAGGCGACCUCCUGGGUCGUACCUGACGCUGAGAUGCGAAAGCUAGGGGAGCGAACG
rnacentral:rRNA from 1 species